rnacentral:lncRNA from 1 species
CUAAUACACCUGCAUCCACUGAUGGCUCAGCCCUUGCUACAGCCAAAGACCACGUGUCCAUGGUCGAACCUGCUGCUUGUGCUGCUCGCGGGAUGAUCCAGACUCCCGGUGAAAAUCGACCACGAAGGGGACGUCCUUGGUGCGACCACUGUAAGAUGCCAGGCCACGAAAAAGUAACCUGCUGGAAGUUACAUGGAAAGCCACCAGAUUGGAAGCCAAACAGGGCUGCUGGCUAUCGUGAGAGUCGGGUAAAUGCAGUCUCUACAGAAGCAACUAAAUCACAAAACCAAAACCCUUUCACGAAGGACCAGUUGGAGCUGCUUCAGCACCUGAUUAGCAAGGGAAAUAUGUCAGCCAGUCCAUUAAAAAUUGGGACAGGGGACAGAUCUGUGCACAACAAUGGAAACCAGGCACUUCAUGUGAAUCAGUCACCCUCAACAUCUUGGAUAGUGGAUUCAGGCGCAUCAGACCACAUGACAGGUGAUAGAUCACUGUUCUCAACUUAUACUCCAUGUCAGGACUAUCAAACAGUGCGUAUUGCCAAUGGUUCACGCUCAAGAGUUGUUGGAAUAGGAACCAUAUAUCUCUCACGCAAUCUUAUCCUGCACUCAGUGUUAUUUGUUCCGAUCUUAAUUGUAAUCUAAUCUCUGUAAGCAAAAUAAACCGUGAUCUUCACUACGAGACUAAAUUUUUUGGCAAAUCUUGUGUUUUUCAGGACUUGGGUUCGGAGAAGACGAUUGGCAAUGCUGAACUUUGUGCAGGCUUGUAUCUCCUCAAAGUAGACUCUUCUUCUAUCCUAGCUUAGAGUCAUAAUAAGACUAGUGUCAGACCCCCCCAGUGUUGGUCAGUUCAUGGUCAUGAGUCAAUAGGCCAGUCCAAUAAAACAAGUGCAAUCAUGUUGUGGCACUACCGUUUAGGUCAUCCAAAUUUCUUGUAUUUGAGUCGUUUGUUUCCUUCAUUAUUCAUUAAUAAAGAUGCAAAGUUAUUUCAAUGCGAUGUCUGCCAAUUAUCAAAGCACACUCGAAGUACAUAUAUCCCACGUCCAUACAAACCAACUCUUCCUUUUUCUCUUAUUCAUGGUGAUAUCUGGGGACCAACCAAAAUCCUUAAUAUUUCUGAAGCAAGGUGGUUUCUAUUGUUGGUUGAUGAUCAUACCCGAUUAAGCUGGACCUUCCUCAUGAAAGAUAAAUCUGAAACCAGCCAAAUCUUUAAAACUUUUCAUGCCAUGAUUCAAACUCAAUUUCAAGCCAAAAUUCAAGUCCUUAAAACUGAUAAUGCCCGAGAUUUCUUCAACUCUAUUUUCAGUCCGUAUCUCCAAUCUUAUGGAAUUGUCCAUCAAAACUCAUGCGUGGACACACCUCAACAAAAUGGUGUGGUAGAAUGCAAAAAUCGUCAUGUACUUGAAGUUGCUCGUUCAUUACUGUUCCAGUCUAAUGUACCUAAGAAAUUCUGGGGCGAGGCUGUUCUUACCGCAACCUAUCUCAUUAAUAGAAUGCCCUCACGUGUGUUAAAAUUUAAAACUCCAGUGCAAUCCCUCCUUGACCUCUAUCCAAACUCACACCUACUUUCCCAAAUUCCCCUUAAAAUUUUUGGAUGCACUACCUUUAUUCAUAUCCACCCUCAUAGCCGAGGGAAACUUGAUGAACGGGCACUCAAAUGCAUCUUCAUUGGAUACUCACCAAACAAAAAAGGAUAUAAAUGUUUUUCUCCUCUCACCAAAAGGGUUUAUCACACCAUGGAUAUCACAUUCUUUGAAGAUAAACCAUUUUUUCCCAAUUCUGUAAUUUAGGGGGAGAUAGACACACAUGAAUCACAAAAUUGGGAUUGGACUACUCUCAUUGAUCCAGUACCAAGUCCAACUCCACUCAAUUCAAUUCUUCGCUCACCUAACCCGGAGUCUCCAUCACCUUCAAGCCCACAAACAGUAGCUGGCUCUCCAAACACAUUUAAGUCACCCAAUUCACCUCCCGAUAAGUCAGAAAUGUACCCAAAACAUCUCCACCUUCCUGAUGAGGCAAUAAAAGUCUAUAGUAGGAGAAAACAACCUCAACAGCCUGUUCAAAAUCAGCAAAACCAGGAGUCCAAUCCGAACUCAGCAAUUCUUGAAAUAGCGCAAGGUAAGACUAAACCUAACACAGAAUACAGUGUUGAAGAGGUUGCAAAAUAUGAUCCAGACUUGGAUCUACCUAUUGCUCAGAGAAAGGGAAUUCGCUCAUGUACACAGCAUCCUAUCCAUAACUAUAUGACCUACUCCAAACUUUCCCAGAAAUUUAGAGCAUUUGUGACUACUCUAGACAAAAUCCAGAUUCCAAGAACAGUUCAUGACGCAUUAAAAGUCCCAGAAUGGAGAGCUGCUACUCUGGAAGAAUUUCAUGCCCUUGAAAAGAACGGCACAUGGACUCUAACAACUCUACCACCUGGAAAGCAAACAGUUGGGUGCAAGUGGAUUUUCUCAGUAAAACAAAAGGCUGAUGGUAGAGUUGAACGGUUCAAAGCCCGCUUGGUAGCCAAGGGCUACACUCAAUCAUAUGGAAUUGACUACCAAGAAACAUUUGCUCCUGUAGCCAAACUCAAUACAGUACGGGUUUUGUUAUCUAUUGCUGUGAACCAAGAUUGGCCUUUAUUUCAACUUGAUGUGAAAAAUGUAUUUUUGAAUGGGGACUUAGUCGAAGAAGUAUAUAUGGAUAUGCCUCCUGGGUUCGAAACUAAUUGUACACGAGGCAAAGUCUGUCGGCUUCGAAAAUCACUGUACGGACUCAAACAAUCACCCGGUGCAUGGUUUGACAAAUUUACAAGAGUGCUAAAACAAGAUGGAUACUUGCAGUCUCAAGCUGAUCAUACUCUUUUCAUCAAACACUUCACAAACGGUAAGAUUACUAUGUUAAUAGUGUAUGUUGAUGAUAUAGUUCUCACGGGAAACUUUGAAGAGGAAAUGAGGAGACUUAAGCUUCUCUUAUCCAAAGAGUUUGAAAUCAAAGACUUGGGACAUCUAAGAUAUUUUUUGGGAAUGGAAGUGGCUAGAUCAAGUAAGGGAAUUUCAGUUUCCCAGCGAAAGUAUGUCUUGGAUCUCUUGAAGGAAACAUGUAUGAGUGGGUGUAGGCCAGUGGACACUCCUAUGGACCCUAACACAAAGUUAAAGUCUGAAGCUGAAGAAAUGCUUGUGGAUAAAGGACAAUAUCAACACUUAGUAGGGAAGUUGAUCUAUUUGACUCACACGCGUCCGGAUAUAAGUUUUGCAGUGAGCCUUGUUAGUCAAUUUCUAAGCAAUCCUUCAGAAACACACAUGGAGGCAGUUUACCGUAUUCUUAGAUAUCUUAAACGGGAUCCUGGAAAGGGGCUAAUGUUCAAAAAGACUCUUAAUCGCUCCUUAGAGGUCUACACGGAUGCGGAUUGGGCUGGAUCCCCUAUUGACCGAAAAUCAACUUCAGGGUAUUGCUCCUAUGUAUGGGGAAAUUUAGUGACAUGGCGGAGUAAAAAACAACAGGUGGUGGCACGAAGUAGUGCUGAGGCAAAAUUUCGAGCCUUAGCUCAGGGUAUUUGUGAAGAAAUCUGGUUAAAACGGCUACUGGGUGAACUCAAAGUCAGCAUUUUUGGUCCUAUAAAUAUGAUGUGUGACAACCAUUCAGCUAUAGCUAUUGCCAAGAACCCUGUCCAUCAUGAUAAGACAAAACAUGUUGAGAUCGACCGACACUUCAUCAGCAAAAAGAUAGAAAGGAAUGUUAUAUCACUGAAACAUGUUCCAUCUCGGCUUCAAGCAGCAGGCAUCCUCACAAAGGCACUCUUCCGUCCGAACUUCAUUGAGCUAAGUUCCAAACUUGGUUUAAUGAGUAUAUACCGCCUAGUUUGAGGGGGAGUGUAGGAAUUCAAACUAGCUACAUAUGGGAAUCUUCAGUUUACUAUAAUUAUAGGUUCAUAUUUUUAGGGAUAUUAAUCUUCUGUAUAUAGCUGUAAUUUACUUCCCUUAAAUAAUGUAAAUUAGUUCCUAGAAAUCAGGAUCUUCUCCACAGAUCUUUAUAUAUAUAUAUACCUGUAUUGUACCUAAUGAAGAGAAGAGAAAAUUACUCCCAUUCUAUUCUACUUCACUCUGCAACAAGUGAAGUGAAGUCAUAUAUUGACAACAAAAGAGUACAAUAAAUAUUAUGCUUCUCAAGUUAAUAUAGUUGAGUGGUAAAAAAUAAUUUCCGACUCAAUGGAUGGCGCUGGAUGCAUUAGUUAAAAGAAGUUAUGUUGACCUACAAGUACAUGGAAUGAGGUAAAUGAAAAGGAUUUUAUCAGUGGAGUUUAAUGACAGAUACGAUUCUUGAUAAAGUAGAAUGGAACAAGAAGAAAAAUGUGUGUUUUCCCUGAUUAAGCAUGGAUUAGGCAUUCUUGAAUUGAGCCACUGAUGCUCUUUAUCGUAUCCCUUGAAUUUUGACUAAUAUAUCAUUGCAACAAUAAUUGUGGCUUUAGCAUCAAUUAGUACCCAUAACAGAUACUUAUGAAGAUACUUAUGCAUCAAUUACCAAUUACAAUUUCCUACAUGGUAGACUAUAAAGUAUUUACAAAGAGAGAAAAUUGAAGAAAAGAAACAAAAUUCCCUACUUCUAAUUGGAAUUGCAAAUAUGCGUUUUAUUCAUUGCCUAGUAAAUAAAAGUCACAUAAUUUCAGUAAGCUGUUCUAAUAAAAUUGAAAAGAGCAACCAAGACCAUACAUUCAAGUUUAUUUUAGGAGCAGUUUUCCAUGAGAGCACAUGCAGAACUCACCAGUUUGCAUAUGAUGAGACAACAUAGUACUAACAAAACUCCUGUCAAUGAAAAUCUUUUUAGUGAAAAUUAAAUAUCACUUUUAAAGCAUCAGCGAUUCUAAAAUUAAACUGCAUAUUGGUCCUCUCCCUAUUGGAAUUGUUAAAAACAAUAUACACAUUGCAAACUUUUUAUGUACUCAGCAUAAGAGAAAACUCAGAGAAGUUGUUCCACAUUGAUAUGUUAGAAGCUUCCAAAUUUGCUUAUAGGAUCCUGGCUGCUAUUCCCCAUACCCACAUUAUACCUAUCUAUAGUGGUUAUUCUCGCACUUCUAAAUUUCUAAAUAUCAUGGAUCAGCCCUUCUCCACACAUUAGUUUGGUCCACUAAUUUCCAUUUCCUAAUUAAUUUGCUCCGGUUUCUCUCAAAAACAUUAACUCGUUGAGUUGCACUUGUCCUCCAAGAAUAAUGCCAUUGUCAGUCAAUCUGAUUUUCAAAAUCAAAAC